UACGAAGGGGGCUAGCGUUGUUCGGAAUUACUGGGCGUAAAGCGCACGUAGGCGGGCGAUUAAGUCAGGGGUGAAAUCCCGGAGCUCAACUCCGGAACUGCCUUUGAUACUGGUCGUCUAGAGAUCGGAAGAGGUGAGUGGAAUUCCCAGUGUAGAGGUGAAAUUCGUAGAUAUUGGGAAGAACACCAGUGGCGAAGGCGACUCACUGGACACAUAUUGACGCUGAGGUGCGAAAGCGUGGGGAGCAAACAGG
rnacentral:rRNA from 1 species